AAUCAGAAGAGAAGAAUAUGAUGGAAAAAAAAAAAGAGGAAAAUCUAGUUAUUUUGGAGCUGGCACCACAAAGAAGGAAAAGGAAAGUGAUGGUGGAUAUAAGAAACAUAAGAAGGAAAGGCAAUGUGGAAUACCUGGGACAUCUCAGAGGAAGGAUUUUGUGACUGAGACAACAAAAUAACUUCAACAUAUAGGAUGUGCAUAAAGAAAAUGUAGAUACAAUUCAAGGAAGUUUUAACAAACAGUUUGUUCUUUAUCAAAGCACCCACUGUUGGAUCGGAAGGGAAAUAUUUGUGGAAACUGAAAGAGGAAAUGCUGGUUUCAAUUCAAGAGAGAGAUCAAUUCUGGAAGAAAGUCUCCUGAUGUCCCAGGAAAAUGAGCAGUCAUAAAGGUGUGCAUAAUUCAAAGAUCAUUUUGUAGUCAUGUCAAAUGUUUGGCAGGAGUCAAGUGAUAGAAUUCUUUUAAUUGGUCAGUUAAUGUUCACACCAGCUGCAAUUAUUUCAAAUGGUUCUGUGAAUAUAGAACAACUCCAUGAACACAUGGCACCUCUAAAGCCUGUUUUCCCCCAAAGCCUUCUUUCCUGGCAUGGGGACUUAAUUAAAAUUAAAUGUGCUGGCCGGUUCAUUGCUGAUUAAGGCUUGUGGCCAGCCCUUGCUAUGAGCUCUGAGAGUUCUGACAGG